rnacentral:sRNA from 1 species
ACUAACAAUACCUUAUUAACAAAUAAAUUAAUUUUCUGAGUAAGAUACAAAACUAUGAAGGUAAUCAUAUUGUCCUGUCCAUAUGAAUAAUCAUAUAUAACUGAUGUUUCAUCAAAAUAUCGUAAAUAAUCAACUCAUUUUUUCUACAAAAAUAGAUAAAAUUCUCUGUUGAAAAUGCAUAAAAUCUACCAUGCAUAAAAUCUAAAAUCAUAUUAUUUUUAGUUAACAAC